rnacentral:rRNA from 1 species
UGCAGUCGAGCGGAUGAGGGAGCUUGCUCCUGGAUUCAGCGGCGGACGGGUGAGUAAUGCCUAGGAAUCUGCCUGGUAGUGGGGGAUAACGUCCGGAAACGGGCGCUAAUACCGCAUACGUCCUGAGGGAGAAAGUGGGGGAUCUUCGGACCCCACGCUAUCAGAUGAGCCUAGGUCGGAUUAGCUAGUUGGUGGGGUAAAGGCCUACCAAGGCGACGAUCCGUAACUGGUCUGAGAGGAUGAUCAGUCACACUGGAACUGAGACACGGUCCAGACUCCUACGGGAGGCAGCAGUGGGGAAUAUUGGACAAUGGGCGAAAGCCUGAUCCAGCCAUGCCGCGUGUGUGAAGAAGGUCUUCGGAUUGUAAAGCACUUUAAGUUGGGAGGAAGGGCAGUAAGUUAAUACCUUGCUGUUUUGACGUUACCAACAGAAUAAGCACCGGCUAACUUCGUGCCAGCAGCCGCGGUAAUACGAAGGGUGCAAGCGUUAAUCGGAACUACUGGGCGUAAAGCGCGCGUAGGUGGUUCAGCAAGUUGGAUGUGAAAUCCCCGGGCUCAACCUGGGAACUGCAUCCAAAACUACUGAGCUAGAGUACGGUAGAGGGUGGUGGAAUUUCCUGUGUAGCGGUGAAAUGCGUAGAUAUAGGAAGGAACACCAAAUGGCGAACCGACCACCUGGACUGAUACUGACACUGAGGUGCGAAAGCGUGGGGAGCAAACAGGAUUAGAUACCCUGAAAGUCCACGUCGUAAACGAUGUCGACUAACCCUUGGCAUCCUU